rnacentral:rRNA from 1 species
CUGGAAGACUUUGCAACAUGUCCAAUCUGUGGUCAAGAAGACGAGGAUGAACACCACGCAGUUGUCAAGUGCACAAAGGCUUGGGCACUUCGAACAGAGUUGAGGAAAAGCUGGUCACUGCCUUCUGAGAAAGAAUUCAGUUACACAGGUGCAGACUGGCUGCAAUGCCUUCUAGAUUCUUGCUCGGUAAUCACCAGAGAUAGGAUCCUCUUGCUCUUUUGGAGAGCGUGGUUCCUACGGGAGGAUUGUGUACAUGGCAAGGGUUCAGCCUCAGUAUCGGUGUCCGCCGAUUUCAUAAGAAGGUAUGAGCAGGAGAUCCUACAGGCCUCGGUACCUGAUACUGACUACACGAGUAAAAUCAGCCUGUUCAAUUCGGACACCAGAGUGCAACAAAAAUUACCAAGGGAAAGCGUGACGUGGUCUCCGCCGCCUUCUGGGUACUGCAAGGUUAACACAGAUGCUUCCUUUAUUGGGGACAAGGGACCGAGCUGUCUAGGAUGA